AUACGUAGGGUGCAAGCGUUAAUCGGAAUUACUGGGCGUAAAGCGUGCGCAGGCGGUUUUGUAAGACAGUGGUGGAAUCCCCGGGGUCAACCUGGGAACUGCCAUUGUGACUGCAAGGCUGGAGUGCGGCAGAGGGGGAUGGAAUUCCGCGUGUAGCAGUGAAAUGCGUAGAUAUGCGGAGGAACACCGAUGGCGAAGGCAAUCCCCUGGGCCUGCACUGACGCUCAUGCACGAAAGCGUGGGGAGCAAACAGGAUUAGAUACCCUGGUAGUCCACGCCCUAAACGAUGUCAACUGGUUGUUGGGGAUUUAUUUUCUCAGUAACGAAGCUAACG
rnacentral:rRNA from 1 species